GAUUGUGUGAGCAUAGUAAGCGGACUAUAGGCGAUAAGGUCUAUAGUCGAGAGGUCAACAGACCAGAUCUUAGGCUAAGGCCCCUAAACAAUACUAAGUUAAAAGAAUGUCAUAUUUCUGGGACAGUCAGGAGGUUGGCUUGGAAGCAGCCAUCCUUUAAAAAGUGCGUAACAGCUUACUGAUAUAUGUUAUGUGGCUUCAAAGAUGUAGAGGGUCUAAGUAUUGUGCCGAAGCCAAGAGGUGGACUGCGAGCGCAGUUCACCGGUAGCGGAGUAUUCUGUAAGUCGAAGAAGGAUAUUCGUGAGGAUAUCUGGAGAUAUCAGAAGAAAUGAUGCCGCCAUGAGUAACUAAAAGACAUGUGAAAUUCAUGUCCACCGAAAACCCAAGGUUUCCUUCUAAAGGAUCAUCCAAGAAGGGUUAGCCGGCACCUAAGGCGAGAGCGAAGGCUGUAGCCGAUGGACUAAUAGGUUAAUAUUCCUAUGCUUAGUCAUAAUGACGCUUCGGAAGCGAUGUAUAAAUUAUUGGUUAUUUUAUGCUACGCGACCGGGGACAAGAAAUAGUUAUGACAACGAAUAAGCCGUACCGCAAACCGACACAGGUGGGUUAGUAGAGAAUACUAAGGUGUUAGGAUAAUGAUGCUGAAGGAAUUCGGCAAAUUUCCUCCGUAACUUAGGGAAAAGGAGGGCCCAUGUAUGCUUCCCUGCAUAUGUAGGUGGCACUUAAAAGGAGGGAGCGACUGUUUAUCAAAAACACAGGACUAUGCGAAAUCGAAAGAUGAAGUAUAUGGUCUGAGGCCUGCCCAGUGUCUUAAGGUCAAACUGAAGUGUUUAAAAAGCAUGGAUGAUAAGCCAGGAUGAACGGCGGCAGUAACUAUAACUGUCUUAACGUAGCGAAAUUCCUUGUCGCGUAAUUUGCGACCUGCACGAAAGGUAUAACGACUCCCUCACUGUCUCCAGCAUCAACCUAGUGAAAUUUAAUUCUCCGUGCAAAUGCGGAGUACUUGCAGCUAGACAAAAAGUCCCCGGCACCUUUACUACAACUUUAUAUUGAUUUGGAAAUAUCAGUACGUAGAAUAGAGAGGAGUCUAUGAAGCAAAGAUUUAGGUCUUUGUGGAGACGAUAGUGAAAUACUUUCUAUUGAUAUUUUUGAACCUAACUUGACGCCAUGAAUCUGGUGCAAGGACAGUGUAUGGAUGGUAGUUUCGCUGGGGCGGCGACCUCCCAAAGAGUAACGGAGGUGCGCAUAAGGCAAGUUCAACCUGUGUAGAAAGCAGGUGCUGAGCGCAAUAGUAUAUACUUGCUUAACUGUGAGAGAGACAACUCGAACAGAGAUGAAAGUCGGCUAUAGUGAUCCUAUGGUUCCACAUGGUAGGGCCAUAGCUCAUCGGAUAAAAGGUACGCCGGGGAUAACAGCGUAAUAGCCUCUGAGAGUCCUUAUCGACGAGGCUGUUUGCGACCUCGAUGUCGGAUCAUCACAUCCUGGGGCUGAAGCAGGUCCCAAGGGUCCGUCUGUUCGCCGGUUAAAGUGGUACGUGAUCUGGGUUCAGAACGUCGUGAGACA
rnacentral:rRNA from 1 species